GUGUUGCAUGAAAGGAGAGAAGGUUAGCAUUCCCCUUGACAAGGACGGAAGAGGCUCUCAGGCCUGACAGCACGCAUAUGGUUAAGGCAUUGCCACCUACUUCAUGGCAUCUAACCACUGUUUUAA
ensembl:snRNA